CCACCCUGCCUGAACGGCGGUAGGUGUGCAGGCCCCGGGACAUGUGUCUGUCCAGAGGGCUUCACCGGACCCACCUGCAGCAAGCGGUAUUCACUGAGUAUCGGAGGCACCCGCUGCGUGUUCCCAUUCUACUACCGUGGCCGCCUCCACCACAACUGCAUCGGAGAGCUGGUCUACGGUCCUGAUGCUGCUCCCGAGACCGAAGACAGUCAAGCACUCCUGCACAUUGAUGACGGUUUGUUGACCGCAGACAAUGAGACACUGUCGCGUCCUCCAGCUGGAGGGGCGGGCCCAUGGUGCGCCACCACCGUCGACGUCUUCAGGAGGCCCCUGCAGUGGGAGACUUGCGCUGGGGU